AAUACUGCAGUCGUACGCUUCUUUUUCACCCGGAGCUUGCUCCACCGGAAAAGAAUAGUGGCCAAGGGGUGAGUAACACGUGGGUAACCUGCCCGUCAAAAAGGGAAAACACUUGGAAACAAGUGCUAAUACCCUUAUAACAAUCGAAACCGCAGGGUUUUGAUUUUAAAGGCGCUUUCCGGUGUCUCUGAAGGGUGGGCCCUCCGUGGCAUAACCUAUUUGGUGAGGUAACGGCUCACCAAGGCCACCAUGCAUACCCAACCUGAGAGGGUGAUCCGCCACAUUGGGACUGAGACACAGCCCAAACUCCGACCGGAAGCCUCAGUAGGGAUCGGCAAUGGACGAAAGUCUGACCGAGCAACGCCGCGUGAGUGAAGAAGGUUUUCGGAUCGUAAAACUCUGUUGUUAGAGAAGAACAAGGAUGAGAGUAACUGUUCAUCCCUUGACGGUAUCUAACCAGAAAGCCACGGCUAACUACGUGCCAGCAGCCGCGGUAAUACGUAGGUGGCAAGCGUUGUCCGGAUUUAUUGGGCGUAAAGCGAGCGCAGGCGGUUUCUUAAGUCUGAUGUGAAAGCCCCCGGCUCAACCGGGGAGGGUCAUUGGAAACUGGGAGACUUGAGUGCAGAAGAGGAGAGUGGAAUUCCAUGUGUAGCGGUGAAAUGCGUAGAUAUAUGGAGGAACACCAGUGGCGAAGGCGGCUCUCUGGUCUGUAACUG
rnacentral:rRNA from 1 species